rnacentral:rRNA from 1 species
AGCGGCGAACGGGUGAGUAACACGUGAGCAACCUACCCUCAACUUCGGGAUAAGCCUCGGAAACAAGGUCUAAUACCGGAUAUCACUCCUGCCUUCAUGGGUGGGGGUUGAAAGUUCUGGCGGUUGGGGAUGGGCUCGCGGCCUAUCAGCUUGUUGGUGGGGUAAUGGCCUACCAAGGCGUCGACGGGUAGCCGGCCUGAGAGGGCGACCGGCCACACUGGGACUGAGACACGGCCCAGACUCCUACGGGAGGCAGCAGUGGGGAAUAUUGCGCAAUGGACGAAAGUCUGACGCAGCAACGCCGCGUGAGGGAUGACGGCCUUCGGGUUGUAAACCUCUUUCAGCAGGGACGAAGCGAGAGUGACGGUACCUGCAGAAGAAGGACCGGCCAACUACGUGCCAGCAGCCGCGGUAAUACGUAGGGUCCGAGCGUUGUCCGGAAUUAUUGGGCGUAAAGGGCUCGUAGGCGGUUCGUCACGUCGGGAGUGAAAACUCGGAGCUCAACUCCGAGCCUGCUUCCGAUACGGGCAGACUAGAGGUAGGCAGGGGAGAGCGGAACUCCUGGUGUAGCGGUGGAAUGCGCAGAUAUCAGGAAGAACACCGGUGGCGAAGGCGGCUCUCUGGGCCUUACCUGACGCUGAGGAGCGAAAGCGUGGGUAGCGAACAGGAUUAGAUACCCUGGUAGUCCACGCCGUAAACGUUGGGCGCUAGGUGUGGGGGACAUUCCACGUCCUCCGUGCCGCAGCUAACGCAUUAAGCGCCCCGCCUGGGGAGUACGGCCGCAAGGCUAAAACUCAAAGGAAUUGACGGGGGCCCGCACAAGCGGCGGAGCAUGCGGAUUAAUUCGAUGCAACGCGAAGAACCUUACCUGGGUUUGACAUAUAGGGAAAUCUCACAGAGAUGUGAGGUCCGUAAGGGUCCUAUACAGGUGGUGCAUGGCUGUCGUCAGCUCGUGUCGUGAGAUGUUGGGUUAAGUCCCGCAACGAGCGCAACCCUCGUCCUAUGUUGCCAGCACGUUAUGGUGGGGACUCAUAGGAGACUGCCGGGGUCAACUCGGAGGAAGGUGGGGAUGACGUCAAGUCAUCAUGCCCCUUAUGUCCAGGGCUUCACGCAUGCUACAAUGGCCGGUACAAAGGGCUGCGAAACUGCAAAGUGGAGCGAAUCCCAAAAAGCCGGUCUCAGUUCGGAUUGGGGUCUGCAACUCGACCCCAUGAAGUCGGAGUCGCUAGUAAUCGCAGAUCAGCAACGCUGCGGUGAAUACGUUCCCGGGCCUUGUACACACCGCCCGUCACGUCAUGAAAGUCGGCAA